UACCUCAUUGACCAGAAGGAUUUCCUUCAGGUCGAUGAGGUUGUUGUACCUCAUCGACUGGAAGGAAUCCCUUCUGGUCAAUGAGGUU
rnacentral:miRNA from 1 species